rnacentral:lncRNA from 1 species
AAUUUUUUAGUUUAAUUAGUUAAAUGAAAUACUUUUAUUACCCUUUUAGUAUUAAAUUAGUUUUUUUUCAAAAUUCUGGGGCCCUCUCUUUCGUCUCUCUCCCUUCGCGGAAACCAGGUUGGCCGGCGAUCUUGGUGGUCCAACCACGGCCAACCGUGAGACUGAUCGGAAAAGGACCGGCUAGGGCCGGCGAUCAUGUCUGGGCUAAAUCACAGCCACCUCAACCACUCACGACGUCGCUGCGAGCUCGGAAAGGUCUGUAGAUUUCGAGUUUUCCGAUGCCGUUUCCGAAGACUCCGGCGUCUGUCUCCAGUUCGGAAGGGAGGACGAGGAGGUGGAAGACUUUGCCUCAGUUUCUCUUCUCUUUUAUCCAUCUAUUUUUACUUCACAAUUCAUUCCCAAACCACACCUUUCAGGUACACUACAAAAGCUCCCAUGUUGAUUUCAUUUUAAUUAAUUAUGUUACUAUUCUUCUUUGUGAUGGAAUGGAAUGGAAUUUGAGUGCUUGUAUUAAUUUCUUGUGUUAACAUGUUCACUACAUACUUCUGAUGAUCCGAAAACGAAGAAGAAGAAGAUUUUGAUAUUUGGGUUAAAUUUGACUUCUGUUCUUUUGAUCACUCUGUGAUUCCUUUUCAUUUUGCUGGUUUUGCUUUUGGUAAUUUUGGUUAGGCUUUUUUUUUAUGAGUUUCUUAUUUUCUAUGUUAGGAAUCUAUGAUUGAUCUACAAUGUUAAUUUGUUUAUGAGCAAGAUUGGUAAUUUGGAUUUUGUCGCAGGUUUACUCAAGGCUUUGGCUUUGGAGACAGAGGAACCAACCAACCAAGCUAUGGCUACAUAUGUCCAAAAUUUAAGCAACCAAAACUUGUUGAACCCCUCCUAUGCAGGGGAUGAGAAACUUGCUUCUUAUCCUGAACCCCCCGCCAAAAUGAUGAUGUAUCUAAAACAAGCUUCAUAUGCUACUGGAUCCUACUCUGAAGUUUUGUCUGGCGGCUCUUUCUCUCCUUACAAAUAUGCUUAUUCUGAUGGUGGCAGGAAUGAAAUGAUGUUGUUAGCUUCCAGUAAAUGGUAUGAACAGUUGUUAUACUAUUCAUACCCUACAACUGAGUUGAUUUAUAUGACAUAGUAUUAACAGUGUACUUCUAUGACAUAGUGUUAACGUAUUUUCAGUAACAAAGCAUACUAUAUAUUUUGCUCUAUAUAUAGCUGUGCAUUUGAAGUUUAUGAUAUGCAUAAUGUGAUUUUUACUAGGAAGAUAGUUUUAUGACAUAGUAUUAACAGUGUACUUUCUUUUCUUUUUUUUCUUGUAGAGCUAUUUCCUUUUGCCUUUGCAAUUGUUUCUGGUGAAACUAUGGACAAUUGGAGGUGGUUUUUGCAAAGGAUAUCGGAUGUCUUGCUU